rnacentral:rRNA from 1 species
GACGAACGCUGGCGGCGUGCCUAAUACAUGCAAGUCGAACGCUGAAGGAGGAGCUUGCUUCUCUGGAUGAGUUGCGAACGGGUGAGUAACGCGUAGGUAACCUGCCUGGUAGCGGGGGAUAACUAUUGGAAACGAUAGCUAAUACCGCAUAAGAGUAGAUGUCGCAUGACAUUUGCUUAAAAGGUGCAAUUGCAUCACUACCAGUUGGACCUGCGUUGUAUUAGCUAGUUGGUGAGGUAACGGCUCACCAAGGCAACGAUACAUAGCCGACCUGAGAGGGUGGUCGGCCACACUGGGACUGAGACACGGCCCAGACGCCUACGGGAGGCAGCAGUAGGGAAUCUGCGGCAAUGGGCGGAAGUCUGACCGAGCAACGCCGCGGGAGGGAAGAAGGUUGUCGGAUCGUAAAGCUCUGUUGUAAGAGAAGAACGAGUGUGAGAGUGGAAAGUUCACACUGUGACGGUAUCUUACCAGAAAGGGACGGCUAACUACGUG